rnacentral:rRNA from 1 species
CGCGCGGGCGGAUGAUUAAGUCAGGUGUGAAAUCUUCGGGCUCAACCCGAAGUCUGCACUUGAAACUAAUAAUCUCGAGUCUCGGAGAGGCAGGCAGAAUUCCUGGUGUAGCGGUGAAAUGCGUAGAUAUCAGGAGGAAUACCGAUGGCGAAGGCAGCCUGCUGGACGGUGACUGACGCUGAGGCGCGAAAGCGUGGGGAGCAAACAGGAUUAGAUACCCUGGUAGUCCACGCCCUAAACGUUGUCGACCAGACGUCGGAGGUAUCUAUCCCUUCGGUGUCGAACCUAACGGAUUAAGUCGACCGCCUGGGGACUAUGCUCGCAAGAGUGAA